GUCUUCUCAUUGAGCUCCUUUCUGUCGAUUUGUGGCAGUUUAUGGAUUCGCACGAGAAGAAGAGCCAUUUCACAGAACUAGCAUUAUUUCACCUUCUGUCUUUGUAGAGGUAUACCUGGCUGUUUUGUGAGACAUUC